GGAUUUGGUUGGGGAAAUACAAAUAUUUAUAAAUUUAAUGAACCUAAUAAAUUAAUUACACGACUAAUGAUCUACCAAAGUAAUUAAACCUAAGUUAAAUAAUUAAGUAGGAGAAAAAUAAAAAAAUAAAACAAAACAAGUUAGGAAAUAAAUAAAAGAGAAGUAAACUAGAAAGACUAAGGGGAGUUCAAAACAAAUGGAUGUGUGGUGAGAAUAGAAGGGA
rnacentral:lncRNA from 1 species